rnacentral:lncRNA from 1 species
CUCUUUUCUGUUCCAAGUGAAUUCAGUGAUGUACAACCUUGAGCUUAAAGGGUAAAUCUAUUAGAUUGUCCUUUUUUUGGUGCGAAAUAUCUUAUCUCUCCGGGGGUAAAUAGGUUUGAUCAGAUCCUCAAGCCCAAGGUAAGAUAUGCUGUACUUCACAGGGAGAAAAGAAAUUACCAACGGAGUUAACCCAUAUUAGUUUUGGGGGACUUGAUGCAUUGUGAGGCCGGGAGGGAAAACUGUGGAGGAGAAGAUUAAUACUAUGUGCCAGUGUCGAAGCAACUUAUCUUGGUUAAUAGUAAACCACAUGAGAGAGAUAACAAUAAGAUGACUAGUCCAGACAGGAGCGAGGAUGUUGUUGGUUUUGGUCUGAUGGCUCUUAGUCUUAAGCCUAAUAGAUUAUUUGGACAGUGACUUUAGAAACAUAGCUAGCAUAAAAAAUGAGUAAAGAGGAGGUAAAUUGUCUUGCACCUGCCAAAUAUGCACGUGGUAAGCGCACAUGGAAGCCUUCCCAAAUUAAUAAUGGGUGGUGCUAGUGAGCGAAGCAUUUUGUUUUCCCAAACUGGAAGAAAUCUAUUUCGCCAGGAAUAGAAACUAGAAGGAAAAAAGGGGGUGGGGGAAAUCAGAUGAGAUUAGAUUAGAUGAUCCUGGAAUUUGGGCUGUAAGUAUAAGAAAAAAAUCUGCUGGGCAGAGGCGGAGGCAGAAACUAUAUUGCA